rnacentral:rRNA from 1 species
UACGUAGGGUGCGAGCGUUGUCCGGAAUUAUUGGGCGUAAAGAGCUUGUAGGUGGUUUGUCGCGUCUGCUGUGAAAAUCCGGGGCUCAACCCCGGACUUGCAGUGGGUACGGGCAGACUAGAGUGCGGUAGGGGAGACUGGAAUUCCUGGUGUAGCGGUGAAAUGCGCAGAUAUCGGGAGGAACACCCGUAGCGAAGGCGGCACUCUGGGCCGGUACUGACGCUGAGGAGCGAAAGCGUGGGGAGCAAACAGG